rfam:Populus trichocarpa scaffold_2_contig_55, whole genome shotgun sequence.
UAAUCUGUUUAGAGCAAAUCUUCAUCUAGUUAAGACAAGCACAUCCCAACUGCUUAGAAUCACUUAUGAUAACUACUAUGUCAACAAUAAUUUUUUAAAUUUUUAAUUGGAGC